rnacentral:misc_RNA from 1 species
GAAAUGCGAUACGUAAUGUGAAUUGCAGAAUUCAGUGAAUCAUCGAAUCUUUGAACGCAUAUUGCGCUCUCUGGUAUUCCGGAGAGCAUGCUUGUUUGAGUAUCAGUAAACACCUCAGAUCCUCUCUUCUUUUUGAAGAGGGAAUUGGACUUGAGUAAUCCCAACACUUGCAAGAGUGGCGGGUUGCUUGAAAUGCAGGUGCAGCUGGACUUUUCUCUGAGCUAAAAGCAUAUUUAUUUAAUCCCGUCAAACGGAUUAUUACUUUUGCUGCAGCUAACAUAAAGGAGAAUCGUUCUUGUGCUGACUGAUGCAGGAUUCACAGGUUGCUUCAGCAACUUGUAAACUCGAUCUCAAAUCAAGUAAGACUACCCGCUGAACUUAA